GCCUAAGUGUCAGAAGAGAAGGCAAGUCUCAGAGUUUUUUUUUUGUUUUUUGUUUGUUUUGUUUUGUUUUUGGUUCUUUUUUUCGGAGCUGGGGACCGAACCCAGGGCCUUGCGCUUCCUAGGUAAGCGCUCUACCACUGAGCUAAAUCCCCAACCCCAAGUCUCAGAGUCUUAAAGCAGCCUAAGCCCACCCUAUAACACGUAGGCCAAAGUUCCUAGAACCCGUGUCUCUCUCAUUACUAGGAAGGACUUUUAGUAGGGCAAAAUGUGGACACAACUGCCCUGAGUGAGACUCUAGAACAAUGGUUCUCAGCCUUCCUAAUGCUGCGUGUGACCCUUUAGUACAGCUCCUCAUGCCCUGGUGACCCCAACCAUAAAAUUAUUUUCAUUACUACUUCAUAACUGUAAUUUUGGUACUCUUACGAACUGUAAUAUAGGUAUCUGAUAUGCAGUACAUGUGAUAUGUGACCCCUAUGAAAUGGUUGUUUAUCCCCAAAUGUGUCUCAACCUACAGGUUGAAAACCAGUGCUCUAGCAGGCUGGUGUACACAGGCCUAGCAGGGCAUAACUUGUCACACACCUUCCCAAGGUCAACACUCUCCAACACAUGUUCAACCAUGAUGAGCAGAGGCACAGUGAUGAGGGGUUUGCAAAAAGCCAACACUUAAGACAACAAAUUGGUGCUCCAAGACACUCUAGAUUUUUGUUUGUUUUUGUUUUCUUUUAGGGUUUCUCUGUGUCUCCCUGGCUGUCAUGGAACUCCCUCUGUAGACCAGGCUGGCCUCAUACUCAAAUAGACCUGCCUGAGUGCUGGAACCAAAGGCGUGCGCCACAACUCAGAGAUCUGGUGGCCUCUGUCUCCUGAAUGCUGGGACUAAAGUCAUGUGCCACCACUGCCUGCUGACACUCUACAAUCCUCAAACAUGAAAAUUCCUGAAGACCAUACAGUUCCAGAGAGGAGGAAGCACUGGUGCUCAAACCUGGGACUACACACGCGUCAGGCAAGUGGCCUACCCUAGGCUGCAUCCCAAUCCCUAGCCCCAGGUAUUACUUAUAGUAAGAAUGGCAUGAAAUAAUCUUUGUAAAAGGGCCAAACAGGGCCAGGUGUGGUGGUGCACACCUUUAGUCCCAGCACUCAGGCACAUCUAUUUGAGUAUGAGGCCAGCCUGGUCUACAGAGGGAGUUCCAGGACAGCCAGGGCUACAUAGAGAAACCCUGCCUCAAAAGAAAAAGGGAGAGGGAGAGGGAGAGGGAGAGGGAGAGGGAGAGGGGGAGGGAGAGGGGGAGGGAGAGAAAGAGAGAAAGAAAGAAAUUCGGGACUGAGAAAAGGGACUGAAAAGGAAAUGUAUACAUGGACGCGCACACACACACACACACACACACACACACACACACACACACACAGUCAGAAGGGCUGUUUGUGUGCUUACAAGCACUUCCUUUGUUUAAAAUAUGAAAGCAAAGUGCAGAGAGAAGGUGGCCAGUGUAAGUCAUGAGCAGAGUAGGGUCACAGCUGCAGAUGGGUCGCAGGAGUUUCCAUGCACCACACAGGUAGUCACAGUGCAGCAUCCUGGUUUAAUACUGUGUCAGGUAAAUCAGUCACUAGCUAGGUGUGGUGGUGCACACUGUAAUUCCAGCAUUCAGAAGGCAGAGGCAGGCAGAUCUCUGUGAAUUUGAGGCCAGUCUUAUCUACAAAGUGAGUUCCAGGAAAGCCAGGUCUUUACACAGAGAAACUCUGUCUCACAAAACAAAACAAAAAAAGAAGCCAGUCACUACCCACCCAACAGUGGCUGACUGGCUGAACACCUAUUUUGUAAGCUUUCUUUCAGGCUCUAGGGGCAGAGAACACUGCACGCCAUUCCUGCCCUUGAGGAGUGCCCAGUCUGCAGCAAGGGAGGGAAAAGGGUGGAUGCUGCAAGGGGAAAGCACUGAGGUCCGGGGAGCUCUGCAAGCAGACGAGGAACGUCCAGGUCAUGAUAUAUGCACCUCUGCAAAGGGGCAGGCUCUCUCCCCAUUGUGUUUCCUGCAGUAUCAUACCGGUGCCUGCCAUGUGGAUGCAUCAGUAAGCAUUUGCUGAAGCAGUGACUUUGUUGUUGGGUAGAUUCCCCAGGCUCGGGAGUACAAGGCAAACAAGUGAGUAAGGCAUACUGUUAAGACUUAGUUCUGGGCUAAACUUCUGCUCAAUAUCCCACAUGCCAGACUCAAGUGAAAAACUGAGUCAUGUGUGCUAACUUGGAACUGAAUUCCAGGAGAGCAGGAGAGGCGUGGCCCAGUGUCCUAAACAGGCCGGUGCCUACGGACAGGAAUUCAGUGACUAAGAUGAUGCUUAGUCUCAAAAGGAGGCUGAACUGAGCCCAUCAGUCACUUCCCUGGUUCUGCCCCCUGUCAGCUCACACAGGAAGUCACCUGAGGUGUCAGUUUACUUUCUGUUCAGUUUCUUCCUCUUACCCCUGUGUAGUCAUCAAGCGUCUAUUCAUCUCACUGGAAUGCUCAUUCUGUUUUGUGGACUGAAGGUCCUGCCUGACUCUUAACAGGCAAACAGAGCUGACUGAGAUCUUUAACUGCCUUGUAAUGCUGUCCUUUGGCAAUAGUUGAGUGGAACCUUCGCACACAUAGCAGCCCAGGGGACAGGGUGGGGCAGUAGCUUUAGUUUACCUGCUGACUUCCAUCCUUAGCCUGCUGAGGGCCUGCAUUUUCCUCUUCACUGGCAUUUACAGCUUCCUCCACAGACCUUAAGGAAAGAUGUCAAAUAUGACCCUGUGAAGCCACAGGAAGAUGUAGAACAGGGAGGGUGAAGCAAGUGGGUACAAGAACUGGCAAGGCUGGGGCUGUCGUGGGGCGUCACAGCCAUAUCCCUGCUGUCCUCAUGGGAGGUACUCAUUUCUCAGCACUUCAGGUGGGGAAGAGCACUGUUGGUUUUGCAGAGUCCUGGGUUCAAUCCCCAAUGUUCACAGACACACCUAGUGUACAUGCAUACAAGCAAGAACACUCAAACACACGAAAUAAAUCUAAAUAAAACUUAAGUCUUUACUUUUAAAACUUUUAAAAUUAACUAAUCGGGAUAUAAUAUUUAUACUUAAUAAACCUAGCUGAGUUCUGUUGCUCUGUGGUGGUACCAGGUCUCACUAUGUAGCUUUGGCUAUCCUGGAACUCAUUACGUAGACCAGGCUGGCCUCAAACUCAGAGAUCCUUUUGUCUCUGCCUCCCCAGUGCUGGGGCCCUGUGCUGUUGCAAUGGACAUUACAUUGACGACUGCUGUGUACUAUUUAAACUCAGGGAGAAGGUGUCUGUGGAGAUGGUUUGUCUCCAUGUGUCCUGGUUAAGAGCAUGUACCGGGAGACCGGGGUCUGCUCCUACACCCUCACUGGUGACACCGUCAGCAAGGGUCCUUGGUGCCAGCAAAAUCUCCAGAUCCUCCUCCUUCCUCAGCUGCUGUCUGCUGGGUGUUUGUAAGCCAUCUUAUUUUUCGGAUGGUGUAAGACAUCUGUUUCAAUCAAGUCCCCUUGUUAUUUGUUCUUUUUACUUGGAAGGAAGCCUCGCCCAAGGGGAUGCUUUAAUCUGCUUGGGAGUAUUUUUAUUGGGAACACAGCUAAUCCGUUAAAGAAUUCCUAGUCAAUGUCUACUGUGGUUUUAAAAGUUGCCAUUUGCCUACUGAUGUAACUGCAGAGACUUUCCACGUGGAGCAUGAGGCAGCCUGGGGUUUCAGUACAGGAAGGGCUGCUCUCCUAGUUCUGCGACUAAAACCACCUGUGUCCUGUUCUUGCCUUUGCUUUAUCUUCUCUGUUAUAUCAAACGAGACGGAGAAAUUAGGUUUGUUUUCUCUCUUCCUAGUUUGGCCAGGUCGAAGUUGCAAUAAACUGGGUUUCCUUUAUUAACUUUCUGGUCUCCCAGCUUUUCGUUUAGAAUUGGUGAGGAGUGAACCUACUCUCUGACCAUGUCCCCAGCAUGUCUGGCACCAGAAGUAGUUUGAGGUAUGGCUUUCGCCGAGACUACCUACCCUGUCCCGAGCACAGUAAGUAGUAUAGCACAUCUUGAAGCCAGACUGGAGAAGACUUUCAGCUUCCUUCUAUGAAAUUUACUUUGGUGAUGUGCUGUCCUUUGCAUUCCUAUGUAAGUUUCAGGAUCAGUUUUAGAAAGAAAAGAGACUUUUUUUUUCAGUGUUGGGAAUGAAGAAGGCCUCCUGCACCAUAGAUAAGUGUACAACCAUGAAACUACAUCCCAGAGCCAAAUCAAAUCGAUAAUUCUGUUUCUUAUUUAAAGUAUUUUUACAGUUAUCUCUUUGUGUGUGUGUGCGUGCGUGCGUGUGUAUACAUGCUGGCAUGAAAGAAAUGGGGAAGGUCAAAAGACAACUCCCAGGGAUCGAGACAUGGGUUGUCAGGUGCCUUUACCCCCUGCACCAUCUCACCGGUCCUGGUACUUGGUUUAAAAGAUCAUUUACCCAAGUGUCCACAGAAGCCACACAGAAACACGAUUUCACUUUGUAUGCUGACUGCGUCUCUGUGAUAGUGGUGAACUAGUUGGGUUUGGUAGUCUUGAAGGAUUUCCCACAGACAGAAUUUCCCUGUUUGUAGACAGAACAAUGGAUCCAUGUUUAGGGUUUACUGUGUUUCCUAAGAAUGUUAGCUCUUUGAUUUUGUAAAAUGCUCUCUCUUAUCAUUUCGUAUACUACACAUGCACACACGCACGCAGGCACACAGUACUCAGGACUGAACUUAGGGCCUUUCUCCUGAUACACAAGACCACUGGGUUAUGGCCCCCAUCCCACUAAUUCUCCUCAGCUGCAUUUAAUCUCUUGCAGCACUGGGGUCGAUUUAUUUGGGGUUUUUUUUGUUUUUUUUUUUCUUUUCUUUUCUUUUUUCUUUUUUUCUUUUUUUCGGAGCUGAGGACCGAACCCAGGGCCUUGCCCUUGCUAGGCAAGCGCUCUACCACUGAGCUAAAUCCCCAACCUGUUUUUUUAUUUUUUUUAACCCUUGUUCAUUUGUUUAUAUUCCCAAAGCAAGAUUAAAUAUAGAAACUUCAUCAGUCAGGCCCCAGUCAUUGCAAGCCUGACCUCUAAUGACGUGUCUCAUAAAAACUCCUGGAAACGAACUCCUAACUAGUACUGGAAAAGGAGGGCCACCAUGUUGUGCUCCAUAUGGGCAGGGGCCUAUUCUCAUCCUCACACUUUCUCCUCCCUGUCUUCCUCUCUCUGCUAUUUGCUACCAUUGUUCUCCGGAGUGGGAGGAAGCAGAAUGUGAGGCAGUGCAGGCUCCCUGCUCCCCUCCUGACGACGUGACAGUCACAUAGAUGACCAGGCUUUUGUUUCUCCACAUCUCAUCAUUUCAUGACUGAUCUGUGGCCAAGUUUUAGGCUGUGAGACCCUGUGAGGUCAGCUGAGCCCGAAUAUUCUCUGACUCCAGACGAAAGGGUGGCUACAAAGUGAACCCAAGCUUUACUUUCAUAAGUGUGUAGGGUGCUCUGUGGGGUCCACAGCUACGGGAUUAGCUCAGGAUUCUAGGGGUGAAGUGUGGCUGCCCCUUCAUAGGGUCCAUGUUGUCUUGCACUCCCGUUCUAUCUAACACUCUGUGGCCACCGCCACUGCUGUGGGACCCCUGUCUUUAGGGAGGCUCUCCUUCUCUGCUAGUGCCUAGCGCCCUGUGUAAUCUCUGUACCCCACAUUUCUGGGACUAGCGGUGGGGCCUUGAAAACCGCCUAAUGCUCAAGUGUUUUUGCAAAAUAUGAAGACUUUGGUUGGUUUAUGCUUGGGAUGUAAGCAGAUAAAGCAGAAGCAUUUUCUGUGCUUCAAAUAGUCACACUUAGUCAGACUCUCAAAAAUACCCUGUCUUUUCCCCUUAGGGGACUGUCAAGACCAAGCUCGCUCGCUCGCGUUCGUUCUCUCUCUCUCUCUCUCUCUCUCUCUCUCUCUCUCUCUCUCUCUCUAGUAGGCUUGUCUUAUUAAUUCCUGCUAAAAAGGGUACAAGGCUGGUGAGCUGGCUCAGAGGGCCGAGGCACCUGCUGCCAAGCCUGACAACCUGAGUCGGAUCCCCCAGGCUCUACAGCAUGGAAGGAGAGAAACAGCUCGUGCUGUCACCUCUGACCCCUGCAUGUGUACUGUGGGCAUAAGCUAAAGGCAACCACACUUCAGUUUCAUAGGUGGGCCCUGGUCAUCACUCUUUGUUUUUUUCAAAAGAAAAACACGACCAUUCUGGCAGAACAAUGGGACCACUAAAGGAGAAAACAGACUACAGUUAAGUCUAGAGGACCACACAGCAGCAUCUUAAAUCCCGAGAAAGACCUGGUUCUCAGGGCCACAGCUUCAUAGGCCCUUCAUCACCAUUAACUAGCUUCUGUGAAAGAAGAAAAUUCUGUAAAGAUACAAGUGCUCUUGGUCCAGCCUGCUGUCACCAGACUCAGCAAAAGCCACCAUUUACUAUCUCCCAGUUCUUCAGAACUGAUGAUGCCUUUGUGACUACAAAUGGUAACACAGGGUUAAUGUUUAAAAAUCUGUUCUUUGGCUCUGUGUGCUCUGCCUCCUUCUGACUUUUCUCCUAAGAUAAUUUCAUUAACUGAAGGUCAUUCAAUGUGGAACUUUUGUCAUCUUGGCUGGCUUUUGCUGGAAUGUAACACUCUGUAAUUCUUGGACUUUUGUUUGACCAAGAAAAAAAUGUUUAUAAUUUCUUUUACAUUCAAAAUGGCAAUGAAAUCUGCUUAAGAACUACCCUAGUCAAGAACAACGCGCAAACAGAUAACCUUCAAUUAUUACAUUAUGCCGUACACAGUCUAGUUCUUUUAGGAUACUGGUAAGUUUAUAUGUCAUGCUGCUUUGCCUCCUAACUAGAUCUUCAACAUGAAGUAUUUUAGUACAUAAGGAAGAAAGUGAACAAAAAACCAGUAAAUAAGAGAAAAUGGUGUACAGUAUACAGAAUGUAAGCAUGAAAGUAAUUUGGGGAUUAAAGAAGGAUUUUUCGCUUAGUAAAAGAAGAUUUUGUCCUAAAGUAAAAUAACAGUUUUUCAGAAUGAAGAAUAACAAUAAGAACAAAAACUUAGCUACACUUAGAAAGACUGUGGAAGUCGACCCUUAGAGGGGCUGGAGAGAUGGCUCAGUGGUAAAGAGCACUGACUGCUCUUCCUGAGGUCUUGAGUUCAAUUCUCAGCAACCACAUGAUGGCUCACGACCAUCUGUAAUGAGAUCUGAUGCCCUCUUCUGGUGUGUCUGAAGACAGCUACAGUGUACUCAUAUGAAUAAGAUAAAUCUUAAAAAAAAAAAAAAAAAGCCCACCUCUGUGCUUCUUCUGUUAUUGUAAAACAACCAAAAUCAAAGCCAAUCAACCAACAAGGCCUCCACACAGCUGAGCCUGUGCUGCUCAUCUCAGUCUCCACUUAGCCUCUCCUGUGAGUCUCAGGCACGAAGGAGCUCUGGGGCACCCCUGGGCCCAGGACGCAUUUACUGAUGGUAUUUGCCUGCAUCUCCUAUCGUCUCCAUUCUCUCCAUUGUAGGGGCUGACAGGAAAGUAAGAUUCAACCCCGAUUUUCUGCCUCCUGUUGAACAGCAGCCUCUUGCCUUCCUGCUCUCUACUGCGUGGGCUUCCCCUUCAGUCCAUGUUUCUUCCUUCUUCACUGUUGGCUUUCAUGGUUUGAAUAGACAGGGCUGUGGUUGGUCUUUCUUACCCCUCUACUAAGAUUUCUUUAAAAAAAUUUUUUGUUUUUUUUUUAAGAUGUGUGCAUGACGGGGGAGGCUCAGAUGGAAUCAGCCUCUCUCCUUUGACCUCCCUGUGGCUUCAGGUGUGAGCGCUCACACAGCAAACACCUUAUAUUCUGAGCCAUCCUGCCUGCCCUCUCACAGGACUCCUUGUUGUGUUCUUCGACGCUCUCAACACCUAUCCAUAUUUGUUUUUUGCAAAAUCCAAUAACCCCUUGGGUAACUCUUCGGGAAUCCUCCUGGGAACUCUGCUGCCUGCAUUUGGCUCUACUGUCUUGUCUCUCUUCUUCUUCUUCUUUUUUUUUUUUUUUAAUUUAUUUUUUUAGGAGCUGGGGACUGAACCCAGGACCUUGUGCUUGCUAGGCAAGCGCUCUACCACUGAGCUAAAUCCUCAACCCUUGUCUUGUCUCUCUUAUUUGUUUGUUUAUUGUUUUUUGAGACAGAGUUUCUCUGUGUAGCUCUGGCUGUCCUGGAACUCUGAGACAGCCUGCCUCUGCCUCCCGAGUGCUGGGACUAGAGGCCUGUGUCACCACCGCCCUCCUGUUCCAUCACCGUUUUAGUUUGUACUCUGCUUUAUGGUUUGAACCUUACUUCAACCUUCUGGAAUUUUUCAGAUCAUCAAGUUCCAGAUGGUAUUGUCACAGAGACAUUAACGAUUAGUCACGCCAUCGAUGCCUGUCUCCUGCCACAGAGAGCCUCUAGGUCUCCAAUGAUGUCAUACUCUAACCUUGUGAUGGACACUCCUCUCUGCAAUGCCUCUCAAGUGUCCACAUCCUAAGAUCUUGGGACCCUGGCAUGAGUCAGCAAAGCUAAGAGGCAUCUCUGGCCCACACCUCUCUGAAGAUCCAGGAGCCUGUUCUGUAUGACCUUGUUCAUCUGUCAGGAAGGAAAUGUAGACACGAAAGACCAAAAGUAAAAGUAAAAUUCCCACUUUUAUGAAUACAGUAACGAUCAUCUGAAGGCUGAUCCUUAGUGGCCCAUAGAGUUUACAGGAAUACCUGGAGCCUGACCUCUUCCACAGUAAAAUUUACUGCUUGGUAAAAUAACAAGAUACUGUGCCUGUCCACCUACUUAGAAAACUCUCACACAACUGUCCUCUCAAUUGCUAUAACGAAUGUCAGCUCCCUUUCAGUCCCACGAUCCCACCCCAAAACCAACGCUCUACUUCAGUGCAUUGCAGUGAGUUCUCUCCUUGUCUAUUUUGGUAAAUUCUUUUACCUCCAACACCACCAAACUUCCAAAUACAGUCCCACAUCAAGAACGAAAGAGAGCAUUAAGGAACAAGAAAAGAGGAAGAAGCCCUCAUCCAAGUCGUCUGAAUUCUCUCAACAGCUAACUAGCAAAAUUCACUGGAUACUGCCUGAUAAAACAUUUGAUUUUAUAGAAAUGUCAAACUAGAAUGUUGCAAGGUGUGGCGGCCCACCUUUAAUCUCAAUAUGCAGGUGAACUUUGUGAGCUCGAGACUAGCCUGGUCUACUUGGUGAAUUUCAAGCUACCUAGGCUAUACAGUGAUAGUCUGUCCCAAAACAACAACAACAACAACAACAAAAAAACCCAAAUAAACAAACAAACCCCAAACCAAACCAAAAGAACAACAAAACAAAGCAAUACAGACAAACAAAAUCUCAAGAGCAAAGUGUACCUUUGAGUUUACUCAUUUCCUGUAAAGUUCAGGCUGUAAACCUGUAACUUUCUGUGACUUGGACAAACAAGAGUAUGAACUUUGUCUACAGUAAACACACGCCUUAAGUCUGGCAUGCUGGUCUAACCUCUUACUGAACACCAUAGAUGCAGAGGCCUAUCUUUCUGAGUUCCAGGCUAGCCAGGGCUAUACACAGAGGCUCUGUUCAAACAAACAGUCCCUGUAGCCUAGCACAGCUAGGGUUUCUUGCAGGGGCUGGGGGUGGGGGUGGGGGUGGGAUGGGGGUGAGGGUGGGCCAGCUAGACGAAGGAUGCUGAGAAAGGCUGUCCCAGAACUCAUGAUGUAGAUCAGGUAGCCUCAAACUCAACUGCCUCUGCCUCCCAAGGGCUGGGAUUAAAGGUGUGAGCUACCACCUGGCUAAAACUUUAAAAAAUAAGUUCAAAACUUCAUACUGAGUUGUCCUGAGAGCCUUCUGAGGCAAGGCUCUACCUUCAGUGCACAUGGUGACACACGGUGACACACGCCUUUAAUCCUGACAUUUGGGUGGCAGAGGAAGGUGGCUCUCUAUGAGUUCAAGGCCAUUCUGGUCUACAUAGUGAAUUCAAGGACAGCCCGGGCUAUAAAGAGAGACCCUGUCUCAAAAGAGCAAAACCAAAAAGGAAUCCUAUUUUUGCCUGAGUAGAGCGAUCUCUGGGCCAACUCAGGGCUGCAGUCAGGAGGGUAGAGAAGCAUAUCCUGUUUCCAGGGCCACUGUCAGUCCCAUACAGACCAUUUAAACCAGAAUGUACCUUUCCCAAGGUGGGUCACAGAGACUCAACCCUGGCUUGUCUUUCUGGUUAUAGAGUAUCAAUAAAUUCUUUGUUCUACCCUUAUCUCAUAGGUCCCAGGACCUCUUCGUUCUAGAAGAAUGAAGAGUACUCACUGGAAGAAGGAGUGCUACACAAAGGCCAAGAAUGUCAGAGCUGACAGGCUGCUCUGGGCUUUCCUGACGGUGUAUCAGCAAUCAUGUCCAUCUACAUAAAAACCCAGAAGGCAGGCGGGGUUCAGAGAGCUCCCAGGACCAGGGAGGCAGGCAAUGAGAACUCAUGCUGUGCCAGGAGGGUGGCACACUCUAGCACCAGGGGAACAGAAACUCCAGCCACUUGAGAGCCUCCCAGGCCUCCCCGUGCGCCUGUCCAUAUGGGUGCUUUAUUUUGAGACAGGGUCUCAUGUAGUUCAGGCUAGCUCUGAACUCACUAUGCAGUCAAGGGUAACCUUAAAUUUAUGAUCCUCCAGGCUCCAUCUCCUCAGUGCUGGGAUUAUAGGCAUCCAGAUCAUACCCAGCUUCCACUUGGCUUCCCCCGCCCCCUUGAGAUAGGGUUUCUUUGGGUAGCCUUGGCUGCCUAGCUUUGUAGACCAGGCUGGCCUUAAACUCUGCCUUCUGAGUGUUGGGAUUAAAGGUGCUCCUACUACACCCAGGUCCUUUUGGCUGUCUCUAAGUCUCAAAUUGCCAGCCCUGCCCUCCCUGCCUUGUUUGUGGUUGAGCACAGCAAACACAUACCACACACUUUAAGUUUUGUGGGUCCAGGGCCUUGCCUGCUGCUCAAGCUCCAUCCUGGCGGGCACUCCACAGGCUUUAAAGUCUGCACAUUCACUCCUUGACCUUUGUCUGCUGGGGUUCUUAAGGGCAGGUUGGAGCUAGGCUGCUGCAGAGAAAAGCUGCCCUGACCUCCACCUCCUGGGCUAAGUGGAAACAAACUCUAAGCAUGGCUCUCAGGGUGAGAGCAAAUGCUGAAGCCCAUCGGAAGGCUUCCCCGUGUGUCAGUGUCAGAGGAAUUUCUUCAGUUCAAGGUCAGUAUGGGGCAAGCAUCCUGCUGCACAGUGGGGCUUUCUGUGGCUCACUGUAUAAUGGGGCAUAAGCCUCUGGACACUCAGCUGCUUACAAGCCACUCAGAGCCAGGCAGAGUGGCACACCUGUCACUUCAGUGCCCACAGGCAGAGGAAAGAGGAGCUAGAGUCUGAGGCCAGUCUCAAUAAGGCAAGAAGAGGCACUGAACCCACACACACAGAGGACCACAAAUUGACACUCCAUCUCUAAAUAUAAGUAGGGCAGUCCCUUACUGAAUCAACGAAGUUCUGCCUGCAGUUUCCUGUGCCCCUCAGACAUCAACCUGUGAUCUUGAGUACAGUCCCAGGCGCUCUGCAGCCUAGGUGUCUGUGUGGAUUUUGACUUUCACUUCAUUCUUGACCUCUUAAGGGACCUUAUUUUCUUGCUGGCCAGGUUUGCAUGUAAACUAUUACAGCCACAGGCUGGUGACAUGACUCAGCAGGUAAAGGCACUCGCCACACAAGCCAGGUGACCUGAGUGAUCUUUAGAACCGACACAAUGGUAGAAUCAACUUUACAAAGUUGUCCUCUGAUUUGCACAUACACACAGACACAAUAGUAGUAAAUAAUGCAUUUAAAACUUCAAUUCAGGGGUUGGGGAUUUAGCUCAGUGGUAGAGCGCUUGCCUAGCAAGCGCAAGGCCCUGGGUUCGGUCCCCAGCUCGGGAAAAAAAAAAAAAAAAAAAAAAAAAACUUCAAUUCAGUAAAAAAAUUAGUUAUUUUCACUGAGAGUACGGCUCAGGGUGUUUAAUCCGUUCUGUGUUGCACGUGGACUUGUAAGGAAUUUAUCCAUCGCAAACUCCCAUCCCCUAAUCAACAUGCAACAAGGUAAAAAUUCUCCAUUCCUUUCAGAACACUAUACCUGAGUGACAGCUCUGACGCUUGUCCUUGAAGCAGAUUUAGCUUUUGGACAUGGCGUCUACAGUCAGCACCAGAGCCUUCGCCAUAAGCCUGAGGAAAAAAAAAAUUAAAGUGUUAGCAGAAUGGUGAGAAACACUUAGGACAACACUCGCAAAGCUUGAAGUGGUGUUAAGAAUAUGCAGGUCUUGGGCUGGAGAGAUGGCUCAGCAGUUAAGAGCACUGACUGCUCUUCCAGAGGUCCUGAGUUCAAAUCCCAGCAACCACAUGGUGGCUCACAACUAUCUGUAAUGAGAUCUGAUGCCCUCUUCUGGUGUCUGAAGACAGCUACAGCAUACUUAUAUAUAAUAAAUACGUUAAAAAAAAAAAAAAAAGAAUACGCAGGUCUAGCCAAGUGGUGUUGUUGAACACCUUUAAUCCCAGAACUCUGGAGGUAGUGACAAGUGGCUCCCUGAGUUCCAGGGCAGCCUGGUCUACAAAGGGAGUUCCAGAACAGCCAAGGCUACAAAGAGAACUCUGUGUCCUGGAAAGAUUCAUAAGCAAAUGGCACUGGCAUUUCUGACCAUCCCACUAUCAUGCAGAAUUUACUAAAGCCAAACUCAGCCUGCAUUGGGAAUCCAAGCAACUGCAGAUGGAAAGACACUAGUAAGAAGGUCUGUGUCAGUGAUGAACAUCAUUUGUUUGUUUGUCACUAUUCCCCAAAGCAGCACAGUACUGUACACAACAUGUACAGUGAGCUAUUACAAGGCACCAAGAGGUGAUUUAAACUAUGCUAGAGGAUCUGGGAGUGGCAGCACAAGCCUUUAAAGCCAGCAUCUGGGAGGCAGAGGCAGAGGCAGGUGGAUCUCUGUGAGAUCCAGGACAGCCAAGGAUAUGUAGAGACCGUGUGUCCAAACAAACAAACCAGUAUACAAAAGGCAGUAGAAUGUAUCUGUAAGUCUCAAUUACUUGGGAAGCUGAGGCAGGAGGAUAGCAUGAGCACCAACUGGAUAAUAUAAUAAUCCCAGUCAUCACAGCUCAAGAAAACACGCUGCAGGAUAUGCAGAGGUUAUGUGACAUUCCAUAGAGGGGUCUCCAUGGUUACCGAGGGCUGGCUGGGACUUGAGUGCUGAACUCUUGGUUGACAGAUGAAGUCCAACAGGACAAGAGAGCAGAGGAGAUGUUCUCUAAGCGUUUACUGUUCCCUGCCACCAUAUCUGCAGACAGUUCCCAGUGCAUGCUGGGCUGAGAACUCCUGUGGACUCCUGGUGUAUGACAGAGCAGAGUGGCCACGUGUACUUUGUGUGUGAUGUGCACACUGCAAGGUGCGUGGCACUGCAGUCCAGGAAGCCAGGUGUUCUGUCUGGACCAGGAACCAAGGAGGUAAGGUAAGAAUGGCUGAAUGCAAACAGAACAUGGUGGCACAUGAUUUUAACUCCACCACUCAGAAUCCGAGAGAGACGGGAGGACUGCUGCAGGUCUGAGGGUAGCCUGGACUACAUAGCAGCUAUGUAGUCUCAAACAAAACCAAACUAAAAAACCCAAACAGCUGAGUUUUAUCUAUUUCGCCUGUCCACUACUCAGCACAGAUGGGUUGUGAAUGAUGAAUUGUGCAUUUUGAUGAUGUGUAUGUACUGUGUUCUCAUUUGUUUGAAAUUGGCACUGCAAAACAGAAAGGCAAACAGCAAAAUUCAUGCUAUUCAUUGUGAAAGUAAUUUUUCUCUGCCUGAUGUAAUUGUUGUUUCUGAAGCUCUCUGCCUCUGCCUGCGAAUCUAGGUCUAGUCCUGGAAGUUUCUAGCCUCCAUACAAUCUAAUCUAGGCCUAGAAUGUUCUCAGCCUCUGAUACCUUCUGCUGAAUACGCUCACCCUUUCCUGUUCUUACUGACAUGUGGCUGGCUGGUCAGCUGAUCUGGCUCAAACUCCUCUCCAGCCUGACUGGUUCAAUCUGGCUUCUCUCAGUUUCUCCUGAACUGAUCUGACCUUAAACUUCUGCCUUCACCUGUGUCUAGCUUGUUCUCUCUUCAACCUGUCUCUGUACAAUUCUCCUGGUAAAACUGCCUCUACACUGCUCUCAAGUAGCUCCCUUUUUUCUCUGUUCUUGUGAGAGUUGGGCAGAUCUCAUUCUGUCAAAUCUUCCUCUGAUCUGUCCCUUUGUCUGCCACUUUCUUUUUUUUUUUUUUUUUUUUUUCUUUUCUUUUUUUUUGGAGCUGGGGACCGAACCCAGGGCCUUGUGCUUGCUAGGCAAGUGCUCUACCGCUGAGCUAAAUCCCCAACACCUGUCUGCCACUUUCAAACAUGGGUGCCACCUUCUACAAACUAACUCUAUCUUCAUUGUUUGCGAUUAAAGGUGUAUACUAAGGGUGUGUCUGUAUUCCAGCUUUUUUUUUUUUUUUUGGUUCUUUUUUUCGGAGCUGGGGACCGAACCCAGGGCCUUGCUGUAUUCCAGCUUUAUAGGUCUGUGUUAAGGACUGACCCAGACCACCUUUAGAAACAGUUUUUGGUUUUUUUUUUUCCAGUAAAUAAUACAAUCUUGGGAUUCACAGUGUGACCAAAUACCUUGCGACAAGUGAUAUGAAUUGUUGCCUUAAGAAGAAAAGACAUUAAACUUAAAGACAAGGCUUAAGGCUGAGUGCUAGUUCAGGGUGAAACAUGGGCAGUAUGUGCAAGACCCUGGCUUCAUUUUCUAGGACUCCAUUCCCUCAGGAAAGAAAAACCUGUAGUGGUUUCUUCUCCUGCCGAUUGAACAAGAGACUCCAUAUUUUCAGUCUGCACGUCUCACAACUAAGAACCGUAGGCCACCUGGCAGGCUCUGACAGGGCAGUGCUACAGCCCAGCAGCUUUCCUUUGUAACUUUCUCUAUUCUGAAACAGACUCGUGUAUUCUAGGCUGGCUUUGACCUUCUCCUGGCCGAGGGGGACCCUCUUUUCCCCACCUCCUGAGCACCAGAAUGCAGCUGGAUGCCACUGUGUCCUUUUUAAGGAGGAUCCCUUCGGUUACAGUGUUGGGAAGUGACCUGAUGACAGAAAUAGGUGGGUGAGUUAGGAAGCUACUGCUAACAGUAUAGGAAGAGGUUGACUCAGCCAGUGAGGUUGGAUGAGGCCACCCUCUGGAUCUAAUCUUAUUGGCAAUCAGUUGUCAUGUGAGGACCGUGAACUCACCUGUUUGGCAACAUGGAGGUCACUGACUGGCCACAGCAGUCAAGGCCUAGUAGAGUGUGGUCCUGUCUGCUGUGUGUUCAAGUGAGGGUAGACAGGAGUUGGGCACAGGGGACGACGGCAAGAUUAAAGAAGACUGAUAACCUGCAUCUGCUUUAACAGUGGAGGUGAAUGUUUUGCCUGGAUGUGUGUCUAUGUACCACAUAUGUGCCUGGUGCUGUCAGAGGUCAGAAGGCAUCGGAUCCCCUGGGACUGCAGUUAUGACUGUGAUUCACCAUGUGGGCACUGGGAACCAAACCUGGGUUCUCUGUAAGAAAAGCAAGUGCUCGCAACUGCAGCGCCAUCUUGGCUGCCCCUCCAUCCUAAACUCUUGCCUUCUAAGUGCUGGGACGACAGGUGUGCACCAGCACAUCCAGUUUUUCAACUGUUUGACGACUGUGCUCAGGGCCCCGUGCAUGCUAGAUGAACACUGUUAUAUCCUCAGCUCCCAAAGUGCUUCUGCCUGUCACUUCCCGGAAAGUGAAUCUUCCUGCAAAGAAGCCCUUUAAAACAGUGAUGCACACUUAGGACUCCGUCCUAAGGAAAUAGUACGUAGUUGGCCAAGUGAGCAAAGAGGCAGUUCCCUGCAGGUGCAAGGGAAUAGCUGUAAACGUAACUUUUAUCCUUCUGCAGUAUAUGUCUCCGAGGCGUACUGCCUCUGUCUGAUAACCUAGGCCUAGUCCUGGAAGCUGCUAGCCUCCAUACAGUCUAAUCAAGGCCUAGAAUGCUUUCAGCCUCUGAGACUUCCUGCUGAAAAAACUCACCCUUUCUUGUUCUUGUUCUUGAGCUCUGGCUGAUUCAACUCAGCUGCUCAGGCUCAAACGCCUCUCCAAGCUGAAUGAUUCAAACUGGAUUCUCUCAGCUUCUGACUGAAUUUACUCUACUUGGCCUCAUAAUAACUUUGGCAAUCUGUACUAGUCUUCUGUCUUCACCUGUGUCUAGCUUGUUCUCUCUCUGCAACCUGUCUCUGUACAACUUUAAUAAGACUGCCUUCUCCCUCUAUCCCUGUGCUGUUCCCUCUUGUGUUGUCUCUCUUUCCCCUCUCUUCUUGUAAGAGUUGGGCAGAUCCUGUUCUGUCGAAUCUUUCUCUGAUUCACCACUUUGCCUCUGAAUUAAUUUCACUUUCAAACAUGGGUGCUUCCUUCUACAAAUCGACUUUACCUUCAUUGUUUGGGAUUAAUGUCUGCAUUCUGGCCAGAUCACAGAGACUUAAAAAAGGUCUUUCGAUGUUGCUGAAUUAAAAUUCCUCUACAUACAGCUUGGUGGCAGAGUGCUAGCCUAGCAUUCAUGAGGCCCUGGGUUCAUCCCCAGCACUAAAGAAAAAGUAAAUGAAAACUUUGACUGCAGAGUUGUAAAUCGCAAUAAAAAUGACAAUCUCCUCUCAUCAA